UACGUAGGGCGCAAGCGUUGUCCGGAAUUAUUGGGCGUAAAGAGCUCGUAGGCGGUUUGUCGCGUCUGCUGUGAAAACCUAAGGCUCAACCUUGGGCUUGCAGUGGGUACGGGCAGACUAGAGUGCGGUAGGGGUGACUGGAAUUCCUGGUGUAGCGGUGGAAUGCGCAGAUAUCAGGAGGAACACCAGUGGCGAAGGCGGUUGCCUGGAGCUUUGCUGACGCUGAUGCGCGAAAGCGUGGGGAGCGAUCCGG
rnacentral:rRNA from 1 species